UACAUGGGGUGCAAACGUUGCUCGGAAUUAUUGGGCGUAAAGCGCACGUAGGCGGUUCGUUAAGUCGGAUGUGAAAGCCCUCGGCUCAACUGAGGAAGUGCACCCGAAACUGGCGAGCUUGAGUACGAAAGAGGAUCGCGGAAUUCCUGGUGUAGCGGUGAAAUGCGCAGAUAUCAGGAGGAACACCGGUGGCGAAGGCGGGUCUCUGGGCCGAUACUGACGCUGAGGAGCGAAAGCGUGGGGAGCGAACAGG
rnacentral:rRNA from 1 species